rnacentral:rRNA from 1 species
GACGGAGGAUGCAAGUGUUAUCCGGAAUCACUGGGCGUAAAGCGUCUGUAGGUGGUCAAAUAAGUCAACUGUUAAAUCUUGAGGCUCAACCUCAAAAUCGCAGUCGAAACUAUUCGACUAGAGUAUAGUAGGGGUAAAGGGAAGUUUCCAGUGGAGCAGUGAAAUGACGUAGAGAUUGGAAAGAACACCGAUGGCGAAGGCACUUUACUGGGCUAUUACUAACACUGAGAGACGAAAGCUAGGGUAGCAAAUGGG